rnacentral:rRNA from 1 species
UACGAAGGGGGCUAGCGUUGCUCGGAAUCACUGGGCGUAAAGGGUGCGUAGGCGGGUCUUUAAGUCAGGGGUGAAAUCCUGGAGCUCAACUCCAGAACUGCCUUUGAUACUGAAGAUCUUGAGUUCGGGAGAGGUGAGUGGAACUGCGAGUGUAGAGGUGAAAUUCGUAGAUAUUCGCAAGAACACCAGUGGCGAAGGUGGCUCACUGGCCCGGUACUGACGCUGAGGUGCGAAAGCGUGGGGAGCAAACAGG